rnacentral:hammerhead_ribozyme from 1 species
AUCCAGCUGACGAGUCCCAAAUAGAACGGUACGCGCAUCCUGGAU